rnacentral:rRNA from 1 species
GACGAACGCUGGCGGCGUGCUUAACACAUGCAAGUCGAACGGAAAGGCCCUGCUUUUGUGGGGUGCUCGAGUGGCGAACGGGUGAGUAACACGUGAGUAACCUGCCCUUGUCUUUGGGAUAACUUCAGGAAACUGGGGCUAAUACCGCAUAGGAGCUCCUGCUGCAUGGGGGGGGUUGGAAAGUUUCGGCGGUUGGGGAUGGACUCGAGGCUUAUCAGCUUGUUGGUGGGGUAGUGGCUUACCAAGGCUGUGACGGGUAGCCGGCAUGAGAGGGUGGACGGCCACCAUGGGACUGCGAGACGGCCCAGACUCCUACGGGAGGCAGCAGUGGGGAGUAUUGCACAGUGGGCGGAAGCCUGAUACAGAAACGCCGCGUGCGUGAUGACGUCCUUCGGGGUGUGAACCGCUUUCGCCUGUGACGAAGCGGGAGUGACGGUAAUGGGUAAAGAAGCACCGGCUAACUACGUG